rnacentral:rRNA from 1 species
GAUGAACGCUGGCGGCGUGCCUAAUACAUGCAAGUCGAGCGAACAGAUAAGGAGCUUGCUCCUUUGAAGUUAGCGGCGGACGGGUGAGUAACACGUGGGUAACCUACCUAUAAGACUGGGAUAACUUCGGGAAACCGGAGCUAAUACCGGAUAACAUUUAGAACCGCAUGGUUCUAAAGUGAAAGAUGGUUUUGCUAUCACUUAUAGAUGGACCCGCGCCGUAUUAGCUAGUUGGUAAGGUAACGGCUUACCAAGGCGACGAUACGUAGCCGACCUGAGAGGGUGAUCGGCCACACUGGAACUGAGACACGGUCCAGACUCCUACGGGAGGCAGCAGUAGGGAAUCUUCCGCAAUGGGCGAAAGCCUGACGGAGCAACGCCGCGUGAGUGAUGAAGGGUUUCGGCUCGUAAAACUCUGUUAUUAGGGAAGAACAAAUGUGUAAGUAACUGUGCACAUCUUGACGGUACCUAAUCAGAAAGCCACGGCUAACUACGUGCCAGCAGCCGCGGUAAUACGUAGGUGACAAGCGUUAUCCGGAAUUAUUGGGCGUAAAGCGCGCGUAGGCGGUUUCUUAGUCUGAUGUGAAAGCCCACGGCUCAACCGUGGAGGGUCAUUGGAAACUGGGAAACUUGAGUGCAGAAGAGGAAAGUGGAAUUCCAUGUGUAGCGGUGAAAUGCGCAGAGAUAUGGAGGAACACCAGUGGCGAAGGCGACUUUCUGGUCUGUAACUGACGCUGAUGUGCGAAAGCGCGGGGAUCAAACAGGAUUAGAUACCCUGGUAGUCCACGCCGUAAACGAUGAGUGCUAAGUGUUAGGGGGUUUCCGCCCCUUAGUGCUGCAGCUAACGCAUUAAGCACUCCGCCUGGGGAGUACGACCGCAAGGUUGAAACUCAAAGGAAUUGACGGGGACCCGCACAAGCGGUGGAGCAUGUGGUUUAAUUCGAAGCAACGCGAAGAACCUUACCAAAUCUUGACAUCCUUUGAAAACUCUAGAGAUAGAGCCUUCCCCUUCGGGGGACAAAGUGACAGGUGGUGCAUGGUUGUCGUCAGCUCGUGUCGUGAGAUGUUGGGUUAAGUCCCGCAACGAGCGCAACCCUUAAGCUUAGUUGCCAUCAUUAAGUUGGGCACUCUAGGUUGACUGCCGGUGACAAACCGGAGGAAGGUGGGGAUGACGUCAAAUCAUCAUGCCCCUUAUGAUUUGGGCUACACACGUGCUACAAUGGACAAUACAAAGGGCAGCUAAACCGCGAGGUCAUGCAAAUCCCAUAAAGUUGUUCUCAGUUCGGAUUGUAGUCUGCAACUCGACUACAUGAAGCUGGAAUCGCUAGUAAUCGUAGAUCAGCAUGCUACGGUGAAUACGUUCCCGGGUCU